rnacentral:rRNA from 1 species
GUGGCGGACUGGUGAGUAACGCGUGAGCAACCUGCCUAUCAGAGGGGAAUAACAGUGAGAAAUCAUUGCUAAUACCGCAUAUGCCAUAAUUAUCGCAUGAUAAUAGUGGGAAAGGAGUAAUCCACUGAUAGAUGGGCUCGCGUCUGAUUAGAUAGUUGGUGGGGUAACGGCCUACCAAGUCAACGAUCAGUAGCCGGACUGAGAGGUUGAACGGCCACAUUGGGACUGAGAUACGGCCCAGACUCCUACGGGAGGCAGCAGUCGGGAAUAUUGCGCAAUGGAGGAAACUCUGACGCAGUGACGCCGCGUAUAGGAAGAAGGUUUUCGGAUUGUAAACUAUUGUCGUUAGGGAAGAUAAAAGACAGUACCUAAGGAGGAAGCUCCGGCUAACUACGUGCCAGCAGCCGCGGUAAUACGUAGGGAGCAAGCGUUAUCCGGAUUUAUUGGGUGUAAAGGGUGCGUAGACGGGAGACUAAGUUAGUUGUGAAAUCCCUCGGCUUAACUGAGGAACUGCAACUAAAACUGGUUUUCUUGAGUAUUGGAGAGGAAAGUGGAAUUCCUAGUGUAGCGGUGAAAUGCGUAGAUAUUAGGAAGAACACCGGUGGCGAAGGCGACUUUCUGGACAAUAACUGACGUUGAGGCACGAAAGUGUGGGGAGCAAACAGGAUUAGAUACCCUGGUAGUCCACACCGUAAACGAUGAAUACUAGGUGUAGGAGAUGAUUUUAUUUUCUGUGCCGUCGCAAACGCAAUAAGUAUUCCACCUGGGGAGUACGGCCGCAAGGUUGAAACUCAAAGGAAUUGACGGGGGCCCGCACAAGCAGUGGAGUAUGUGGUUUAAUUCGAAGCAACGCGAAGAACCUUACCAAGGCUUGACAUAUACAGGAAUAACUAAGAAAUUAGUUAGCUCUUCGGAGUCUGUAUACAGGUGGUGCAUGGUUGUCGUCAGCUCGUGUCGUGAGAUGUUAGGUUAAGUCCUGCAACGAGCGCAACCCCUGCUUCUAGUUGCCAGCACGUAAAGGUGGGAACUCUAGAGGGACUGCCGGUGAUAAAUCGGAGGAAGGUGGGGAUGACGUCAAAUCAUCAUGCCCUUUAUGUCUUGGGCUACACACGUACUACAAUGGCUGUAACAGAGGGAUGCAAAACAGUGAUGUUAAGCGGAACCCAAAAAGCAGUCUCAGUUCGGAUUGAAGGCUGAAACUCGCCUUCAUGAAAGCGGAAUUGCUAGUAAUGGCAGGUCAGCAUACUGCCGUGAAUACGUUCCCGGGCCUUGUACACACCGCCCGUCACACCAUGAGAGUUGGGAAUACCCGAAGCCUGUGAGCUAACUUAUAGAGGCAGCAGUCGAAGGUAGAAUCAAUGAUUGGGGUGAAGUCGUAACAAGGUA